GACGAACGCUGGCGGCGUGCUUAACACAUGCAAGUCGAACGGAAAGGCCCUGCUUUUGUGGGGUGCUCGAGUGGCGAACGGGUGAGUAACACGUGAGUAACCUGCCCUUGACUUUGGGAUAACUUCAGGAAACUGGGGCUAAUACCGGAUAGGAGCUCCUGCUGCAUGGUGGGGGUUGGAAAGUUUCGGCGGUUGGGGAUGGACUCGCGGCUUAUCAGCUUGUUGGUGGGGUAGUGGCUUACCAAGGCUUUGACGGGUAGCCGGCCUGAGAGGGUGACCGGCCACAUUGGGACUGAGAUACGGCCCAGACUCCUACGGGAGGCAGCAGUGGGGAAUAUUGCACAAUGGGCGGAAGCCUGAUGCAGCAACGCCGCGUGCGGGAUGACGGCCUUCGGGUUGUAAACCGCUUUCGCCUGUGACGAAGCGUGAGUGACGGUAAUGGGUAAAGAAGCACCGGCUAACUACGUGCCAGCAGCCGCGGUGAUACGUANGGUGCGAGCGUUGUCCCGAUUUAUUGGGGCGUAAGGGCUCGUAGGUGGUUGAUCGCGUCGGAAGUGUAAUCUUGGGGCUUAACCCUGAGCGUGCUUUCGAUACGGGUUGACUUGAGGAAGGUAGGGGAGAAUGGAAUUCCUGGUGGAGCGGUGGAAUGCGCAGAUAUCAGGAGGAACACCAGUGGCGAAGGCGGUUCUCUGGGCCUUUCCUGACGCUGAGGAGCGAAAGCGUGGGGAGCGAACAGGCUUAGAUACCCUGGUAGUCCACGCUGUAAACGGUGGGUACUAGGUGUGGGGUCCAUUCCACGGGUUCCGUGCCGUAGCUAACGCUUUAAGUACCCCGCCUGGGGAGUACGGCCGCAAGGCUAAAACUCAAAGGAAUUGACGGGGCCCCGCACAAGCGGCGGAGCAUGCGGAUUAAUUCGAUGCAACGCGUAGAACCUUACCUGGGUUUGACAUGGAUCGGGAGUGCUCAGAGAUGGGUGUGCCUCUUUUGGGGUCGGUUCACAGGUGGUGCAUGGCUGUCGUCAGCUCGUGUCGUGAGAUGUUGGGUUAAGUCCCGCAACGAGCGCAACCCUUGUUCACUGUUGCCAGCACGUUAUGGUGGGGACUCAGUGGAGACCGCCGGGGUCAACUCGGAGGAAGGUGGGGAUGACGUCAAGUCAUCAUGCCCCUUAUGUCCAGGGCUUCACGCAUGCUACAAUGGCUGGUACAGAGAGUGGCGAGCCUGUGAGGGUGAGCGAAUCUCGGAAAGCCGGUCUCAGUUCGGAUUGGGGUCUGCAACUCGACCUCAUGAAGUCGGAGUCGCUAGUAAUCGCAGAUCAGCAACGCUGCGGUGAAUACGUUCCCGGGGCU
rnacentral:rRNA from 1 species